CCUACGGGUGGCUGCAGUGGGGAAUCUUGGGCAAUGGGCGCCAGCCUGAUCCUGCAACGCCUCGUGAAGGCAGAAGGCUUUCGGGUUGUAAACUUCUUUUCUCAGGGACGACGCACGUGACGGUACCUUAGGAAUCAGCCACGACUAACUAGGUGCCAGCAGCCGCGGUAAUACGUAGGUGGCAAGCGUUAUCCGGAGUUACUGGUUGUAAAGGGCGAGGAGGCGGGGAAGCAAGUCAGAUGUGAAAGCCAUGGGCUCAACCGGUGGCCUGUAUUUGAUACUGUUUUUCUUGAGUACUGGAGAGGCAGACGGAAUUCCUAGUGUAGCGGUGAAAUGCGUAGAUAUUAGGAGGAACACCAGUGGCGAAGGCGGUCUGCUGGACAGCAACUGACGCUGAGGCGCGAAAGCGUGGGGAGCAAACAGGAUUAGAUACCCGGGUAGUC
rnacentral:rRNA from 1 species